GACGAACGCUGGCGGCGUGCUUAACACAUGCAAGUCGAACGGAAAGGCCCUGCGCUUGUGGGGUGCUCGAGUGGCGAACGGGUGAGUAACACGCGAGUAACCCGCCCCUGACUUUGGGAUAACAUCAGGAAACUGGGGCUAAUACCGGAUAGGAGCUCCUGCUGCACGGUGGGGGUUGGAAAGUUUCGGCGGUUGGGGCUGGACUCGCGGCUUAUCAGCUUGUUGGUGGAGUAGUGGCUUACCAAGUGUUUGACGGAUAGCCCGCCUGAGAGGGUGGCCGGCGACAUGACUCCUACGAGAGGGCGCAGUAGCCUACGGGAGGCAACGGUGGGGAGUAUGACACAGUGGGGCGACGCGUGAGACAGAGGCGCCGCGUGCGGAAUGACGGCCUUCGGGGUGUAAACAGCUUUCGACUGUAACGAGGCGUGAUUGACGGUAAUGGGUAAAAAAGCACCGGCUAACUACGUG
rnacentral:rRNA from 1 species